UAAAUUAAAGCCAAAGAAGAGGCAUUUUAUUGUUAAUAAAAAAAAUGAAUGGAUAAUUCUAAUUUAA
rnacentral:tRNA from 1 species